CUAACUCCCUGUCAAUGUAAAAUUUAACUUAUUGGUAAAAUUUUCUCUUAUUCAAGGACGAAAACUAAUAUAAACUAAAUAAACAUUGCAGCUUGAGAGGAGGUUUUAGCUUACCCUCCCUUGCUUAAUUCCAUGAAUGUGACUCUCGGUCAUUCCUGGAACCUACUAUAGUAGAAUGGAAUGUUGGAAGCAAGGUGAAGCAAAAUGAUUGCUAAGAAAAUGACUCCUGGCGGGAGCAAAUGACUUCAGUCCUUAAGUUAUUAUAAGUGGAAGGGUCAAGAGAUGAAACACAUUGCUGAUGAAAUAAAGGAAACAAGUUUAUUAUCAGCAAAGGUCAAGGAAGCACUAAGGCAUAGCACAUCCAAAAGAGAGGGAUACAGGUCAGACUAAGCCAUUUAUCCUUGAUAGAUGAGGGAAGAACCAAGGCACUGGUUGAUGAUAGAAAAAGGAAGGACUCAGGCAUACAUCAUCAUACAUCCAUGAUAGAUCAAGG